UUGUACAGUAAUUCUUGUGCGUGGACUGUCGCUGUAUAGGUAACAUUCUUCGUCCGGAUUUUCGUGGUAUUUUUUCGCGUAGUGAAUCGGGAUUGCUUUUUUACAUUUAGUGAUAAUGAAGAACGUUUUGAUUCCUGUGGCCUAUUCAGAGGAAGAACGAUCGGCAGGGAUUUCGUGUGGAUGUCUUCUCGACAACAUAACAUUGAUUGUUACUUCAACGACCACAAAUAUCCUAAUUUUGCAGUUUCAACGGGGAGCCUUUAAUGUGGUGAGUUUCUUUAUAUAUUAUUUUUAAAGCAAAUAGACAGAACGUGUAUGAAACCAAGAAUUAAAAAAUGUGAAAUGCAGCUUUUUCCUAAUAGCGUGUACUAAAACAAAACUAAAAAAAUUAAGGUUUUAUAGCUCUAAUACUAGAGGGCAGAUUUUUAAUAUUGGAAGA